rnacentral:ncRNA from 1 species
ACCAUCCUUUUCUUGGGGUUGAGGUACUGUCCAAUGAGCGUCGAGUGAGGGCAGUACUGCUAACGCUUGCACAACACACCCGCAUCACCUAGAGCUUUGCUUUAUCUGGGUGCAAUUUUUGGAAAA